UCUCCCUCCCGCAAGCACACAGAUCCUCUCUUCUCUCCAUGUAGUCACUACUUGGGGAAGGGGAAUGGGUGGUAUCAGCAAUUCAAGACUGAUUUCUUUUCCAUCUUCAGCGCCCCUUUCCUUGAUAUGAUGUUAAAACCAGAACAAGAAACAGAUCGAGGAAGAGGCAGAGUAACAACAGCCGGGAAGAAGAUACAGUUUUGUCAUUUUGUAGUGAGACUGUGCCCUAUACAUGAACCUAUUUGCCAGACCCAUCAAGUGAAUUCCGUGAUUCUUAUGAAAAAUGCCAUUAGACCUGUGAGAGGGGCUGUGACAGUGGAACCCGAAUGAAGACAGGAAAAGUCUGUAGAGGACUGAUGGUUAUGUUCACCAUUCAAAUUGCAAGAAAACCAAUAAGAAGUCAGUAAAGUGCAUUCAAAGAGAAAGGUGGGACUCGUGAAGGGGCCAAGGGAAAAGAGCUUCAUUAGCAUAUUUGUCAAGCAGAUGUGAAAUGAGGCAGAAAACUACUAGAACAAUUGGAGAAAUCUAGAAUAUGAAGUUCCAGCACAAACUUAGAUGGCUUCUAACUAUGUGAAGGUUUGAACAGCAGCUUCUGACAUAGAAAAUAACCACAGCAAAAAGAAGCACUAACAAGUGACAGAUGUGGUUGACUCAUCUCCUUCUCCCUUCGACUCUCUAAUGAGCAAUUAAAUAGCCUGAAACAGAACAAUCAAGAGGUCUGGCAAAUCCACACACUAGAUGACUGCCUUUUCACUUAACUGUGUCCUCAUAUGGAAGAGAGGAGAAAAGAGGAGAGGAGGGGAGAGGCAAGUUCUCUUGUGUUUCUUCUUACAAAGCACAAAUGCCAUUAUGAGGGCCCCACCCUCAGGACCUCAUCUAAUCCUAAUUUCCUCCCAAAAUUAAAUCUCAAAUGUCAUCACAUUGUGGUUAGGAGUCAACACAUAAUUGGGGGUCAUGGUGGGGCAGCAAUACUAAACUGAUACACAAAGGAUCCCCGUACUUCAUCAAAAUAUCAAUGUUGUCCAUGACACACAAAGAACCCAGCUGUAGUUUAAUUCAGCAUCACAGUCCCAACAUGUUUUAAAACAUGUUCCAGCUUUUGGUCCCAGGAUUAUUCAACCUAGCUCAUAAAAGAAAACAAUAUUGCAUUUCUAAGUAUUGGCUCCUAGAAUUGGCAAGUUUAGUCAAGAAAAGCUGGAAUGCCGUUAAAACAACACCCUGUCAUCUUUCAAUCAGUCCUUAGCUGAAGUUAAAAUCCCACUCAUUCUGCAUGAUCCAGCCUCUGUAGCAUAGAGUGAGUAGCCCCUUAACAAGAACCAAAAUGGAGGGUACGGAUGAGGCUCAGAUCGUCACCACCUGGAGAAUAGAGACAGUGACUGAGUCACCAGGAAAUCUGUCCCCUGCUCAUCCCAGAAUCCCCGAGCUUUGACUUUUUAAGAGAACAUGUGACAGAUAAUGCCAUCUGAGAAGCUUAGGCAACUCAGUCAUCAAUGUGUCCUCGAGAAGAGCAUAUCCCCAAAUUGGAAAAUAAUCCUUCAGGGCAUCUGAACAUAACCACAUUUGGCUUACUUUGUGAAGCAGUUGUCUGAAUAGAAUAAGACUGGCUUGGAACGAGAUUCACAGAGCAACCAAAUAAAGAUGAUUGAGUGAAUGGCUAAAGAAAUAAAUAUGUUCGAAUCUGUACCCAUCUCAUGUCUUUCCUGAUGAUUGCCUCCUUUACUGUAUGUUUUCCACUGAGAUGAAGAUUUUGGUCAUUUCCUCAUUCAUGUUCCUGCUUUUCAAAACCCAAGCAAGAAAGGAAACUUCUACAGUGACUUUCUCAUUAUGAAAUCUUAGCAUUCACUAGUCGGCCAUAAUGGAAAACCAGCCAAAUGGACACAUAUACACUGGUCUGUACCCGCAGAGAAAGAAAUGCAAAUCUCUGUGAUCAGAAAACUAUCCUAUCUUGUACAUUGUUAAAAGUCUGCCUCCAAAAAGUUUACUUCUGGAAUACUGUAAUUGAAUAGAAUCAGGGAUCCUACCUGUGUCCUUCAACUUUCACAUCUUGUCUACUCAAGUAAGGGUUGAAUUUGCAUGACUAUAUCUAAGGUUCGAGGGCUUACCUGUUGGCAGUAGACCCAGUAGUCUAUGAAUGGAAAUGGGCAAACCUGUGACCUCCCAAAACUUUAAUAUGAAAGUUUUGUUUGUGUAUACUCAUGGCAUUAUUCUUUUAAUAAAG
rnacentral:lncRNA from 1 species